UGAGAUCAGCCUGGUCAACAUGGUUUAACCCUGUCUCUACUAAAAAUACAAAAAAAAAAAAAAAAAAAAAAAAAGGAAAGAAAGAAAGUCAUGAGACCAUCCCAUUCAAGGGGAGGAGGCUAUAUAUACAUGCAUUACACUGUGAGGCAUGAUUCGUUGGCGGGAAGAGGAGAGCAACUAUCUUUGAGGACUAGCUACUACUAGUAAAGCCAUAAAGCAGGAUUAUCAGGAGGAAGUUAGACCAGAUCCAGUAGAUGUGAGUUUUACAGAAUGAUGUUACUGCUACCAGUAGAGUUGAUGGUCCUCAUUUACCCACUUCCUUUAGAGUAGUUAAGUGUUUCAUUCAGUCCUGAUCUCAGAUUCUAAACCUCUUUUCCCAAUAUAUUGGUUUUGUUUCUUUAAGAGUCUUCAGAUCUUUGAUUAGUAAGACCUAAUGUCUCCAAAGGUGCUCAGACAUGGUAGCAUGUGAAAUAUUUUUAUAUUGUAUUGCUUUGUCUUACCUCUUUGCCUCUGGGCCCUCCACAAGGGUGAGCCUAGGCAAGGUACCAUUUUAUUUUCAAGGUGAAUUCAGCAAGCAUUAAUUGAGUACUCUGUCCUUGUCACAGGAGGAACAAAGAAAUAUAGCACAUCUGUAAGAUGUAAAUGAAACAAAAGGAGAGAAAGGCCUGUAUUAUUAGCUAAGUUCUAUAAUAAAAAGACCCCAGAAAUAUAGACGAUAUAGAAGUUUAUUUCUCUGUCACAUAACAGUCCAAGGUGGCAGUCCAGAUGGGCAGGUGGUUCUGCCCCAAACAGCCAGGUUUAGGACCUUCCGUCCUGUUUCUCUGCCAUCACCAAGGCAGUAUUCUCAUCUGCAUGGCAACAGCUGAGCUGCAGAUUCAUCAUCAUUCUUGACCACAGGAAGUGGGAAGAGAGAACAUGGAGGAGACAUGCCCACUUCUUUAAGGAACUGGCCAGAAGUGACACAAAUCAAUUCUAUGCUUGUUCCAUUGGCAAGUACUUAGUUAAAUGGCCAAACCUAAGAGGAAGGGAGCUUGGAAAUGUAAUGCGUUGGUGUCCAUGUGCUUGAUUACAAUUGUUUUAGCAAGAGUUUCAGAAACAGUUAGCAGCCACCACAAUAGCAUGUAAACAAAUCAUUACAAACUAAUGUGAUAUCUGUCACUAGAAAAACAUACAAAGUGCUAUGAAUACACAGUAGGGAGUGGGAGUCACUAGCUUGGCUUCAGUGUUUGGAAAGGGUUUUCACAGGAAGUAAAAUUUGAAAUGAUUCCAGAAGUAAUGAGUAGAGAAAAAUAGGACAUUCUGUGCAAAAAAAAAAAAAAAAAGAUAUAUAUAUGCCCAGGUACAGAGUACAAAAGAGGGUUACGGGUUUGGGGACUAGCAAAAAUUUGGUAUGGCUGAGCGUAGGACCCAUAGAAUGAGGAAUUAAAGAAAAUGAGAUCUGGAAGAUAGAGGGGAUUAUACUAAGAAGUAGCUAAGACUUUAUUCUCUAGGGAUGGUGGGGAGCUAUCAGAAGUUUGUAAGCUUGGGACGGGCAUGGUCACAGUGGUAGUGGUGGUGUGAAGAGAAGAGAUAGAGUAAGAGGAGAACAGUUAGGAGUAUAUUACAGGGGACAUAAUGGGAAUUAAAUCAAAAUAGUUGUUAUGGAGAUGCGAGAGGAAGGAAUAAAUAUCUAGGGAACUGAGACUACAGCUUACUUUUAUGAAGAGGUUGAGGAAAAGAUGAAUGCUUUCUAAUUUUACAGGGUAGAUAAUUGGUGUUGCCAUUAGCAAUGCAAGUACAGGAAGAGAAAACAAGUUUUCUAGGGUGAGAUUUUUAAUUUGUUUCUAGACAUAAAGAAUUUUGAAUGUCUGCCAUAUAUCUACAUUUCUGACUAAUUUCUGCUGGGUUUAAAGGUAAAAGAAAAGAACAGAAGGUGAGUCUAAGGACUGGCUUGACUCCAGAUAAAUAUCUUUCUUAGUUAUGUGGGAAGAUGUAUAAGAGAAUGUUGUGUCUUAGCAAUAUGGGAAACUAACUUGGCCUAGUCUGUGAUGACAGUAAAACUUUUAACAAUUCAUCAGCCUUUUUAAUGCCAGUUUUUUAUAUAAUACCCUUCGCUUAUAUUCUGCCACUCAGCACUUGCCAUAUGCCAGGUUCUAUACUAGGUGCUAAGGACACAACCCUGACAACAAGUACAGCCUCUGCUCUUAAAAAGUAAAGGCCCAAAAAAUGUAAGUUAGCCAUUCCAGGUCAGUGAGAGUAAAAUUAUGUGUAGGGAAUGAGGAUGGUGGCACAGAAAUUAGUGUUUUGAGUUCCAAGCAAAGACAAGAGAAUAUGUGGUACAUUUGACAGCUGAAGAAAGUCCAGUGUUGCUGGAGAAUAGAGUAUAAGGGUAGGACAAUAAAAAGAAAUGACCCUAGAGAAAUAAACAGGAGCUAGGUCAUGGAGAGCUUUCUUAGCCUUGUAAAAACUUGGAAAGAGGGUUCUAAGAAAGGGAAUAUAAUAUGAUUAGAUUUGAAUUUUUCAGUGAACAUUCUAGCAGUGAUAAUGGUAAUGGAUUAAGAGAGUUACAGGACUCAAAGCAAAGCUAGUUAGAUCAUGAUGACCUGGAUGAGUGGUGGAGAUGGAGAAAAUCAUUUGAUGUGAGAGAUGUUUAAGAAACUCAGUGGGUCCUGAAUAUUGAUGGGUUCUCCUGGGUAAUAGGGCAGAAGCAUCAGUUUGGUGUCCAGACUUUUCGUUUGGCAAUUAUAUGGAUGCCUAUCAUUAAUAGAGAAAAUAUUUUUUGGAGAAUGAUGAGUUCAGUUUUGACAUGCUGAGUUUGAGGUGCCUGCCAGACCUCCAAGUAGAAAUGGACACUAAACUAUUAAAUAUAUUGGCUGAGGCUCAAGACUGAGAGAGAUUAUUAUAUAGAUAUAUACAAUUUUUUUAAAAGAAAAGGAAGUGACUGCGGAGGAGAAAGGAAAACUUUUGAAACAACUAGAAGAGAAGGAAGAGUCAACAGAGGUUUUAGUUUAUUUAAGACGAAAGAGACCUGAAUAAUUAUAAAUUGUAUAAACAGCUAGUCAGAAUAUGAAGAUGUAGAGAAUUAGGCUAUAGAAUGGAAAUGCCUUGAAGAUAAGGCAGGAUUUGAUUGAGAGUUUAACUUGGAAGAAAAUUUGCCUUCAGAAAGAAGGAGCAUGAGUCUAAUGCUGACAGGUCUCCUGAUUUGGUAGUGGAAAGUUAAAGAAUUCCAUUCGGAUUAAUUUUGGUUUUGCCUGGAAGGAGGAGACCAGGUGACAUGCUCAAGAGAAAGGGAAGAUUGCAGUCUGAAGUUUGAAAAGAAUGUAAGAUGGGCUUAGUUAGGCAAAUGAAAACAUCUACAUUUUUUAUUUUAAAAUGGCCAUUCUAAAAAAAAAAAAAAUUCAAGUGAUAAAAAGAAAUUAAAAUCCCUAAUCAUACCACCCCUGAGAAAUAACCUGUUUCUAUUAAUAACAGUGUGCACAGACUUCCAAAUAAACAGGCUCAUAUGUGUAUUGUCCUAUAACUUGAUUUUCUUUUUAUUACUUUUUUCCAAUUAUAAAAAUAAUACAUUCCAUUUACCAAAAAAGAAAUACAUAUUCCUAUUGUAGUUUGGAUAUUUUUCAUGUAGUUGUUUGUAGAUACAACUUUCUUCUUUGUAGCAACCACAUUGCAUUUAAUUGGUUGAAUAUGCCAUAAUUUAUUUUAUUGAGUCUCUAUUGAAAGUUAUUCAUUUUUCUUCCUUUAUUGGCUAAUAUUAAUAGUAUUGAAGUAAGCAUCUUUACACAUUUUUGCUAGUGUUUCUACAAAAUAAACAUCAAAAACUGAAAUUUCUAGGUCAAAAGGUAAGCAUGUAUUUAGUUUGGAAAAUUAUAGCCAAAUUGUUCUGCAAAAUAGUUAUACAAGUUUGCAUUUAUGUCUUAAAUGUUAUUAAUUAUUUUAAUCUUUGUUAUUCUGCAAAAAAAGCCUCAAUUAAAUUUGUAUUUAUUUGGAAAGCAGUGAGAUUGAGCAUGUUUUCAUAUGAUUAUUAGUCAUUUAUAUUUAUCUUAUAAAUUAUCAGGUGUUUCUUUUUAAUUGUCUUUGUCAUUUCUUUAUUGAUAGUAGGAGUUCUUUAAAAAUGAUGGAUAACACUCCUUAUUGUGUGUAGUAUAUUUUUGCCUAGUUGCCUUUUAUCUUUUUGCUUUGCUUAUGGAGUUCGUUAAGGUUUCUUUCCAAACUGAAGUUUUUAGUUUUUACGUAGCCAAAAAAUGCAAUUUUUUAAUAGUUUCUAGUCUUAUUGGCAUGCCGUUAAGUCCCUCCCCACAAAUAUACAUAUGCUUUCUUUUAUUUUCUUUUACUGCCUUUAUGAUUUUUUUAAGCUUUUAAAUGAUAACAUCUGGAGAGUUGUCUGGAAUUGCAUACUACAAUGGCUGAACAAUGUUGAGGGCUGUUGCAGUUGAUGAUGAUUUGUUUGUAGGAACGACAAUCUGUUAGCCAGGAACAAGCCAGUUAGCUGGGUUUAUCCAACCUUGGAGUGUUCCAGACAAGUACCUUAAAUGGACAGUUGCGACCUAGCAGAUUAGGAAAGCACAGUGAAAUGUCAGACCACGGUCUUCAAACAGUUAGGUUGAGAAGUGAAAACAAGACAAGGGCUAAGAGGAAGAAAGGAAAGGAUAAAUGGACUGGAAGCCCUGCCAGAUUUUUUUUAAGUUAAGAAAGGGAAUUUAGAAAAAUGAAGGAAAAGAAAGAUAGGG